ensembl:lncRNA
GAGCUUGGGGGCCCAGGGCCGCUCCCAGCCGGCGGGAGCGCGCGCCUCGACCCCAGUGCGCGAAGGCGGAGGCCGAGGGGCGCCGGGCGCACUUGGCCAGGGCGAAGGAAGAGCCCUCCGGACCCCUCGCCCGCCGGGCCAGACGCUGCCUCCCCACCCAGCCCCCUCCUAAUCUGGGUCUCCCCUGAGCAGUGCCCACGCGGCAGCCCCUUCGCCCGGGCGGCAGCCCCUUCGCCCGGGCCGCAGCGCCCGCGCCGUCCUUGGGGAGCCCGGCGCCGGAGACUCACUCGGCCUGAUGGCUGCAACCCGCGCAGAUCGCCGACGCGGGAGCCCACAGCAGCUUCGUCACCGCCUUCGCGGCUCGCUGCGCCGUGUCCGGCCUGCUUUGCCCUCCUGAGGCAGACAGAACUCUGCGUGUCCACCUGUGGCCUGUGCCCAAGGGUCUGCUCCGUGAGGCUUUGCCUCACCGCUUCACUACCUUAUCCGAGCCUGAAGACACCUAGGCACCCCGUUUUAGGGAAUAAAUCCACUUAGUAAGCCUGCUCACAAGUAAUGGAGAUUAAGUCUUAGCCAAUGGGGCACGGAGCCCAGAACAUUGUGCUACUGAAUAGGUAAUUUCCACAUGACAUUUGCCCUUUUGGAAUACAGCUGCCAUAUAAAGAAGUCUGAGGUAUCCUACUGGAAAGACCACGUGGAGAAGGGGGCCCCAGAUAACUGCUAGACAUGUGCAUGAGAUCAUCUUAGUUCCAACUGAACCCGAGCUGUUCCAAUGGAAAUGACAUCAUUGCAAAGUUGUUAAAAGCAUUAGCUCUGGGCCAAGGAUUUAGCUCAGUGGUUCUGCCGCCUGCCUCGCAAGCGCAAGGGCCCGAGUUUGAUCCCUGGUACCAAAAAAAAAAAAGCAUUAGCUCUGGACCCAGACCGACUGGAUUCGAGUCCUUACAUUACUGUUUAUUAGCUAUAUCACUGUGAGUUUAUAAAUCAACCUUUCCAUAGUUACUUAUGGUUUGAUGGGGAUAAAAUCAUGGAAUUCAGUUUGCUAACCUAUUAAAGGAAAUAUAGGCCUCUGCUUUAUAGGCUUACAAUGAAACCAAACACUUAAACAAGUAAAGACAGCAUCUGAAACAUAGAAGAACUUGUACAAGAGUUGAAAAUCAUUGCCCUUGUGAGAUGAAAAUUGGAAUGGAGAGACAUGGAGUUGGG